UACGGGGGGGGCAAGCGUUGUUCGGAAUUACUGGGCGUAAAGGGCUCGUAGGCGGCCAACUAAGUCGGAUGUGAAAUCCCCAGGCUUAACCUGGGAACUGCAUCCGAUACUGGAUGGCUUGAAUCCGGGAGAGGGAUGCAGAAUUCCAGGUGUAGCGGUGAGAUGCGUAGAUAUCUGGAGGAACACCGGUGGCGAAGGCGGCAUCCUGGACCGACACUGACGCUGAGGCGCGAAAGCUAGGGUAGCAAACGGG
rnacentral:rRNA from 1 species